CCUACGGGAGGCAGCAGUGGGGAAUAUUGGGCAAUGGGCGCAAGCCUGACCCAGCAACGCCGCGUGAAGGAAGAAGGCUUUCGGGUUGUAAACUUCUUUUCUCAGGGACGAAGCAAGUGACGGUCCCUGAGGAAUAAGCCACGGCUAACUAGGUGCCAGCAGCCGCGGUAAUACGUAGGUGGCAGGCGUUAUUCGGAUUUACUGGGUGUAAAGGGCGUGUAGGCGGGACUGCAAGUCAGAUGUGAAAACCACGGGCUCAACCUGUGGCCUGCCUUUGAAACUGUAGGUCUUGAGUACUGGAGAGGCAGACGGAAGUCGUAGUGGAGCGGUGAAAUGCGUAGAUAUUAGGAAGAACACCAGUGGCGAAGGCGGUCUGCUGGACAGCAACUGACGCUGAGGCGCGAAAGCGUGGGGAGCAAACAGGAUUAGAUACCCGGGUAGUC
rnacentral:rRNA from 1 species